rnacentral:rRNA from 1 species
CGUGCAGGCGGUUUGGUAAGUUGGAUGUGAAAGCUCCCGGCUCAACUGGGAGAGGACGUUCAAUACUGUCAGACUAGAGAACGGUAGAGGGAGGUGGAAUUCCCGGUGUAGUGGUGAAAUGCGUAGAUAUCGGGAGGAACACCAGUGGCGAAAGCGGCCUCCUGGACCGUACCUGACGCUAAGACGCGAAAGCUAGGGGAGCGAACG